rnacentral:rRNA from 1 species
UAGGGAAUCUUCGGCAAUGGACAAAGUCUGACCGAGCAACGCCGCGUGAGUGAAGAAGGUUUUCGGAUCGUAAAACUCUGUUGGUAGAGAAGAACGUUGGUGAGAGUGGAAAGCUCAUCAAGUGACGGUAACUACCCAGAAAGGGACGGCUAACUACGUGCCAG